rnacentral:piRNA from 1 species
CCUACCAAUCUGAAAGAGACCGUUUUCCC